rnacentral:lncRNA from 1 species
GUAAGCUAAAAACACCAGCCCAACGCCACCAACUUGUUCCUGGCACUGCCUCGUGGCUCCCCAUCCCUGAAGCAGCCAAGUGUUCUGCUGUGGAAAUAAAGCUGCAGUCAGCUGGUGUGAUUCAGAGCAGUAUCGCAAAGACAUGUGGCAGGCCUACUUCUGCCACACCCAAGUCUCACUCGUAUUUAAACGUAAAACAAACCGCACACCGGCCUGAACUAACUUCAAGGAAGUUUUAAAAGAAAUCUUUAAGACAUCUUACUGCGUACUACGACUAACUCAAAUUCCCCCUCUGUUUAAGAUGACAGCCUGCUUCAUUUCUCGUUUGUAGUUACAGUUUUGAAAACGAUUUGAAAAGUUAUGCCCUCAAAAAGAUCUUCACAUUCUCAGAAUACAGAUUCAAGAAAUCCAAGACGAAGUCUUUAGAGGCGUGUAGUUUCCCAACAUCUAAAACUGAAUGCUACAGUGGCUUUUUAUUCACAACGUACGUUCCUUUUAUCAAAAGUAAGACUUGAAAGUCAUUAUCCACCCCCCUAAACAAUGGUGUGUGAUAGUUAACAGAGCUCAGAAGCGUUGGCUGGUUUUUUUUUAACGUCUCCAGUAACUCUGCGCACUUGACACUAGUAACAGAGCAAGACAAGAACCGAGGUCAUUUUGAUCCACAGGUGACAUAUCUCCAUUCCAUCAGGCGCUGUUAAAUCAUUACCUCUUUCGCACCGUUAUGAACAUCCUGUGUGUUCCAGAACAGCACUUACUUACAGGAGCGUGCUCUAACACCAAACGUGUCACUGUGCUUUAGCAGCGACAACGCUGCUCGCAGAACUCCACGCAGUACUCUACGCUCUCGGCCACUUGAAAGGACGAGCGACCAGGCUCCACGUUUAACAGCUCUACACCAGAAAACUGGUCCAAAAAAUGUCAGCGCCUAGAUCAGCAAAACCUCAAGCAGACAGUGGUCGAUUAUUUCAUAGCAGUCUUUACCAAAGCACCGGUUAUUCAAACUACAAGCCAACAGCAACGUGUUCCUUCUACGUCAUCUUUUAUUAACCUAUCACAAAUGAAGCCCAAAGCUGAGCUACGGGCACUUUUUUCCAUUUUCAUGGCAUCAGGCAAAAUCAUUCUCAGCCCUAUUACAAAAUCCAGUCAAGCCAGAAAUAAUAUAUUCACGAAAUGCAAAAAUACAUGCGUUAGAGCCCAGAUCACUGUCAGGUUGAUAAAAAGACUCAAACAGUGAGCGUAGUGGUUUGUUUCAUAAAAGACGUGUCUCUGCCACUACGUAUUAUAUCAGCUUCAAGUAUUAAGUCAUCAACAUUCUACUAAAGGGAUGAGACAAAAGUCACUUAGCUACCAGCUUCUGUGCUUUGGGAACACCUGGGUUCAGAGCUAACGAAGCUGGGUGUCUGUACGUGUUCCCGUAACACCUUCAUCCCCCAGCACAUAGAAUAACCCCACACCACCCCGCAGCUCGCAUCCUCCGGCCUCC